UUGACUCAGCCCAGGAUUAGUAAUCAGAAGACCUAAAGCCUGGUCUGAAUUGUACCACUUCUUGGCUACGUGGCCUGGGACAAGGCCCUUCUUACCUCCAGGCCUCUGUUUUUCACCUGUAAAAUCAGAAAGUUGGACUAGACAUAAGAAUAUAGAAUCAUAGACUGAGAGUUAGAAGGGACUUUAAGAGUUAACGCUCUCACGCCAUCCAACCUUUUCAUUUUAGAAGGGAGAAGAUGAAGGCCCAGAGACAUCAAAUUCUAUGAACCUGCUUCACUGGGUAUUUGGAAGAGAAAGUACUUGGAUCAGUUCUUGGGACAGCAACACCUCACAGACCUGGUAUCAUGGUCUCCUGAGCCGUUUCGGGUGCUUCUGACUUCCAUAUUCCAGAGAGAAGAUGAAAAAUGCCAACCCUACUACAGGUGCUGAAGAGACAAUAAGACUCUGGGAAGAAGCUGACGUGAGAAUGGCUUUACCCAGAAAACCUGGCGAAAUCCUAUCUGACACCACCCCACAUACUGAUGCCAACUCCGUCUGAUGCAUAUAGUUUAUGAUAUAAAGAAAGGUCAAACAGCCCCAGAGAAGGGAUGAAAAAAAUGAACUUCCCCACCUCCUUUGCAGAAGUGGUGGGAGAUUACUUGUAAAACAUUGCUUACGCUGGUAGGGUUGAUGUAAUUGGUUAGUU